GGAAUAUUGCGCAAUGGAGGAAACUCUGACGCAGUGACGCCGCGUAUAGGACGAAGGUCUUCGGAUUGUAAACUAUUGUCGUUAGGGAAGAGAAAGGACAGUACCUAAGGAGGAAGCUCCGGCUAACUACGUGCCAGCAGCCGCGGUAAUACGUAGGGAGCGAGCGUUAUCCGGAUUUAUUGGGUGUAAAGGGUGCGUAGACGGGAAAAUAAGUUAGUUGUGAAAUCCCCAGGCUUAACUUGGGAACUGCAACUAAAACUGUUUUUCUUGAGUGUUGGAGAGGAAAGCGGAAUUCCUAGUGUAGCGGUGAAAUGCGUAGAUAUUAGGAGGAACACCAGUGGCGAAGGCGGCUUUCUGGACAAUAACUGACGUUGAGGCACGAAAGUGUGGGGAGCAAACA
rnacentral:rRNA from 1 species